rnacentral:rRNA from 1 species
AGUGAACGCUGGCGGUAGGCCUAACACAUGCAAGUCGAACGGCAGCACAGUAAGAGCUUGCUCUUACGGGUUGCGAGUGGCGGACGGGUGAGGAAUACAUCGGAAUCUACUUUUUCGUGGGGGUUAACGUAGGGAAACUUACGCUAAUACCGCAUACGACCUACGGGUGAAAGCAGGGGAUCUUCGGACCUUGCGCGAUUGAAUGCGCCGAUGUCGGAUUAGCUAGUUGGCGGGGUACAGGCCCACCAAGGCGCCGAUCCGUAGCUGGUCUGUGAGGAUGAUCGGCGACACUGGAACUGAGACACGGUCCAGACUCCUACGGGAGGCAGCAGUGGGGAAUGUUGGGCAGUGGGCGCAAGCCUGAUCCAACCGUACCGCGUGGGAGAAGGAGGCCUUCGGGUUGUAAAGCCCUUUUGUUGGGAAAGAAAAGCAGCAGGUUAAUACCCCGCUGUUCUGACGGUACCCAAAGAAUAAGCACCGGCUAACUUCGCG